CUAUUAAAAUAUUUAUUUGUAUAUAUUACAAUAAAUGUCAUCUAUAAUAUAUUGUAUUACAUAAAUAUAGGAGUUCCCAUCGUGGCACAGUAGAAACAAAACCAACUAGGAACCAUGAGGUUGUGGGUUCGAUCCCUGGCCUUGCUCAGUAGGUUAAGGAUCCAGCAUUGCUGUGAGCCGUGGUGUAGGUCGCAGAUGCUGCUCAGAUCUGGUGUUGCUGUGGCUGUGGUGUAGGCUGGCAGCUGCAGCUCUGAUCUGACCCCUAGCCUGGGAACCUCCAUAUGCUAUGAGUGCAGCCCUAAAAACCAAAAAAUAAAUAAAUAAAUAAAUCCAGCCAUCAGAAAGAUGUUCACAUCAGAAAAAUUAGAAGAAAACAGCCCAAAAUCUAAUUUUGAUUUUUUUUUCCGGGAUGAUUUUUUUUUUUCCUGUUGUCUUUCAGCUUUUCUAGAAUGAGCGUGCACUUAUUGAAUAAGGAACUAAAAAAAAAUUAUUUUUUCAAAAUUAAAAGAUUAAUCUGGAGCCAAGUGGAGGACCAAUAUCAGUGGAGAGAUCCUACAGGCAGAGAGUAAGGCGGGGGAGAGAUGAGGCUGAAGCAACACGGUGGCCAUGGGAGCUGAAAGGAAAGUCAAGGUAACUUGAACUUGAUGGGACUGGUGACACCAAAAGGUGAGGAGGGAGGCUUCUGUUGAGCACCUGCUUUGGGUCAGCAGCAAGCGAUGUGGCGGUCCUUCUGACCUGCAGAAGAAGAGAUACCUUUCUGUGAGAAGGCUGCAGGUGUCUUUUUGGGGUACAAAGUCAGAAGUAAUGGUUUCCUUGAACCUUCACUCCCAACACAAACCUAUCACCCAGCUUCUGCAGAGUUGUACUGAGUUGGCGUGAACUUGAACAAGUCUGUUGGUGUCUCUGAGAUUCAUGCUUUUCACGAUGGAAACGGAGAUGAUAAUACCCUCUCCGAAAAGCUUGUAAAGAUGGAUAGAGAUCAUCUUUGAAAGCAUGUGAUGUGACGAUGCCCAGCACAUGCUAAGUAACGAUUAUAAUGAUAAAGCUAUACCGGUUCCCCAAUGUACAUAAUGCUACAAAUGAUGUGAGGAAACGGCCCUGGCAAACCCCUACAGUCAUAAUCCAAAUAGUCAGUAAAAGCCGUCUGUAAUUUAUCCAUACAUUUGACCGCUUAAUAAUCAAGAAUUUCUUCCUUGCAUCCAAUCGAAAUGUCUCCCCUGCCGCUAAAUCCAUAAGCCAACCAUCUGCCACGUGGCAAUGGCCUUGGUCUGAAAUCUGAGUCCAAUGUCACAGAAAGAGCACUUUUUUCAGAGUCACAACAGCUUGACCCUGGACAGGUCACUAAAAUCUCUAAAGCUUUAAUUUCCCCAUCUUUAAAGUGGGAGCAGUAUUAUCUAUACCUUGGCAUCCUGUUUUGAUAAUUAUUUUGAGAAUGAUCUAUGCAAUACAUCUAGCUCGAAAAAAAAAAUGUGCAGUAAAUGCGAGCUCCUUUUCAUUUAUUUUUAAUGGAUUUUACCAUUUAAGGAAAAACACAUUUUUUAAAACUAAAGGUUGAGUUUUUUUUUUUCCAGCUCAUUAUUUUUAUCCAGGACCAUUAUAGCUAUUAAGUGUUGUGAGCUUCUCUCUCUCCAGAGACAUUUAUGAUGCCAAUUAGAAGCGUGCGUAUACUGAGAUUAAAAAGUAAUGACUAACAAAAUGAACAGUGGAUUCCCCUCUUGACACCCAGCCUGCCGCUCCUGAAGCUUGUUUCUAGAUAUUUAACUCUCCAUGGGGACAGUAAACCACAUUUCUGGGGUCAAGGGAAUAUCAUUAAGAUUUUACAGUUCAAGAUCAUUUGAAGGCGAUGGGGGAGAGAGCAAUGACCUAUGUAAACAGGGGACCACAUUAAGGCGGCACAGGUCACAUCCAUGCUUGUUAUUGGGCUAGAAAUCGGACAGUGCAAAAUGAACGGUCCCAUCCUAAGGAGAGGGAAAGGUUGAGUUGCCAAUGGGAACACGAAGAUGGGGUUCAGUUUUACACGCAUGGGUCUCUCCCAUUUCAUUAUUACACACGAAGAAGCUUCUCAACAAGUGUUUGUAUUCACUGAUGAAUCCAGGACAUCCUGAUGAAAUUAUACAUAUAUAUAAAUUAUAUAUAUAUAUUUUUCUUUUUUACAGCUGCACCUGCAGCAUAUGGAAGUUCCCAGGCUAGGGGUCAAAUCAGAGCUGCAGCUGCAGUCCUGCGCCACAGCCAUGGCAACACCGGAUCCUUAACCCACCAAGCGAGGCCAGGGAUCAAACCUACAGCCUCAUGGAGACUACAUCAGGUUCUUACCUGUUGAGCCACAAUGGGAACUCCCCAGCUUUUUUUUUGGCCACCCCACAGCAUAUGGAGUUCCCAGGCCAGGGAUCAGUUUGGAGCCACAGUUGCGUGAACCCUGGAUCCUUUAACCCACUGUGUCAGGCCAGAAGUUGAACCUGUGUCUUUGAUGCUGCAGAGAUGCUGCUGAUCCCGUUGUGCCACAGCGGGAACUCCAAAUUUUAUUUUAGUUUUCCUUUCAGGUCUAUUCUUUUCUGACUCUUCAGUCC
rnacentral:lncRNA from 1 species